UACGAAGGGGGCUAGCGUUGUUCGGAAUCACUGGGCGUAAAGCGCACGUAGGCGGAUCUUUAAGUCAGGGGUGAAAUCCCGAGGCUCAACCUCGGAACUGCCUUUGAUACUGGGGAUCUCGAGUCCGGGAGAGGUGAGUGGAACUGCGAGUGUAGAGGUGAAAUUCGUAGAUAUUCGCAAGAACACCAGUGGCGAAGGCGGACUCACUGGCCCGGAACUGACGCUGAGGUGGCGAAAGCGUGGGGAGCAAACAGG
rnacentral:rRNA from 1 species